CCCACUAAAAAUUGUGUCUAAUAUCAUCAUGUGGCUGUAAAACGUGCUGGAAUUAGUUGAAGAAGUCGUGACCAGCCAAUAAUGUCACAAUCAGUCCGCUGGUCUGAUUUCCUGCUUAGUCUUGCCCAAGGCUAAGAGCCUAACAACUUGCAUUUGUGUUCCAAAAUUCCAGCAGCUCCUUCCUUGCUCCAAAACAUUUCAAUUGUGCUCCUUUUUGCUUCAUUCAUAUCAAAUCCAACUUUUCCUAGCAUAAAAACAAUAAAUCAAGUUAAACCACUCUUUUAAGCACAAAAUGACACCAAAUCAACACAAAUAUAACAAUAAAAGAAAAUUGGAUUUGCAAGUUAUCAAAUUUCCCCACACUUAUCCCAUGCUUGUCCUCAAGCAUGACUUAGAANNNNN
rnacentral:lncRNA from 1 species